rnacentral:rRNA from 1 species
GAUGAACGCUAGCGAUAGGCUUAACACAUGCAAGUCGAGGGGCAGCAUAAAUGUAGCAAUACAUUGGUGGCGACCGGCGCACGGGUGAGUAACGCGUAUGCAACCUACCCAUAACAGGGGGAUAUCACGGCGAAAGUCGUGCUAAUACCGCAUAACACAGGGGUCCCGCAUGGGAAUAUUUGUUAAAGAUUUAUUGGUUAUGGAUGGGCAUGCGUUCCAUUAGGUAGUUGGUAAGGUAAUGGCUUACCAAGCCAUCGAUGGAUAGGGGUUCUGAGAGGAAGGUCCCCCACACUGGUACUGAGACACGGACCAGACUCCUACGGGAGGCAGCAGUGAGGAAUAUUGGUCAAUGGGCGAGAGCCUGAACCAGCCAAAUCGCGUGAAGGAUGACGGUAUUAAGUAUUGUAAACUUCUUUUAUUAGGGAAUAAAGUGCAGGACGUGUCCUGUUUUGUAUGUACCUAACGAAUAAGCAUCGGCUAACUCCGUGCCAGCAGCCGCCGUAA